GUGAGGCCUGGCAGGCUGGGGACACACCAUUCCAGGGGGCGACAACCCUCACAGACUGUGGCUGGAGGGGUCUGGGGUGACAGAGCUGGUGGUCAGCUCUGUGCUGAGGGAGGACAGCAGGGAAGAGGGGGUGGCCCUGUCUCAUCCCAAAGGAGCUGGGAUCUAGGAGCAGGGAGCAAACUCCCCAGCAGGGAGUGGGGUAGGUGGGGACAGGACAAAGAGUGCUGGGAGAGAGGAGCAGUGCUGGGGCCUGCGGAGGCCUGGGCAGGGGGCUAGCUGGGCCUCUGAGGACAAAAGCAGCAGUGAUGGCAGAGGCUCUUCUCUUGCUGCUUCCUGGAUGCCAUGGAUUGAGUAGCUUUCCUCCGCCAUGCCUUUUCUGCUUUGGAGCCAACUGACCACAGACUGAACCCUCUGAAACUGUGAGCCACAAUAAAUCUCUCUCCUUUAAAUUUCAAUUGUUGGGUAUUUUGUCUGGAAAAUGG
rnacentral:lncRNA from 1 species